CCUGGGGAGGGGAGAGCACAGGGCUGUGAGAAGAGUCUGAUGAGACACCCCCAGCUCCCUUCCCUGCUGGGGAGAGCAAGGCAGCUGAAGGCGCAGAGGGGAGAAAUGGGAAGGCAAAGGCCCCAGGUCCCUUCCCUCUGGGGUGGCAAGAGACAUAGCUCCCUAAGGAAGAUUUUCUGUUGGCUUUGGGGAAUAAUCGCUGUACUAGGAGAGACUUCGCAAGCAGAGGGAGCCAGCAGAGCCUGGCUGGCUGUAGGAUGCAUACAGGCUGCCACUUCAGACAGGCUUGGAUGCCUCUCAUUGAUUAGCCCUUCUGGGAAUGGAUAUCCCAGUUGGGCUAUUCCCGUGUUACUCCCUGUGAGGGAGGUCUACCCAGGCUUGUUAGUGCCUAAGAUACAGCAACCAGAAGCAGGGAGCUGCUUCCAGAGAUAUUCCUCAUACUGCUCUGUUCCUCCUUUCCUCUCUCAGGCCCCUGCGGCUGGCUAAGCAAGCUAAAAAACACUUUUUAAUAAUUUACUUACUCCCCAUCUUACUCUUUGCCUCAAAAAGCUAUGCACCCAGAGGUGUGUCUGAGAUUCAGAGGGGCUACAGAAGCAUCCUGGAGAGCCUGACAGUGCUGGAAGCGCCUACACUGAGGGCAGUUGCAUGGAAAGGAACAGUAUUACAUACAACUUACUUGUUAUUCUUGGUCACUAUGGAGUUAAAGGAUGAAGCACGAGAGGCCUGUGACAUUAAAGGGAAUGGCAUCACUGAGUGGCUGAAAAGACAAACCAGGGUCUAGGAACUAGAUCCUCACCUGGCAACUCCUCCACUGUCAGAUCUGCAGAAGAAACACAGAGAUGGCCCCAUGAAGAAAGCAGCAGACAUACCACAGAAAGUGCUCAGCUCCAUGGCUUAAGAGCCCUUUGGCCUUCCUUCCUCCAACCCCCAACACAAAGUUACUUCACUGCAACAAACAAGGUGCAAGACCAAGAAUCCUGAAGAAAGUCUCAUCAGAAGAAAUGCAGAAGACAGUGGAAGCAACUUUGUGAUGGACCUGCGUUUGCCUUUGUGAGAAGCAAGCCAAGUCCCAGGAAGGCACGUGGGGACCACUGAGUUACUGUCAAACAUUUACGCACAAACGUGGUCACACCCUGGAGCUGACUUGGAAUUCACACUCCAGAAGCUAAGGGUUUUGAUUCUAAACACCGUGACAGUUACCCUGUCACUACUGAAAAGUCAGUACAAUUAUACUAAAUAUACAUAUAGUCCUUUUCAUAUUCUCUGUACUUUAAUAAUAACUGAUGUCUUUUAAGGA